UUAGAAUUGCAAGGGAGCCUAUGUAAUAGGCUGAGAAAGGACUUUGAAGUACCUGACCUUUUGACCUGAUCGGGAUCAUGCCCGCGUAGGAAGCACGCUGACAUAUGUG
rnacentral:ncRNA from 2 species